AUCAGUUUAACUAUUUUUGAAAGCCUUAUGUAUUUUGUUUUAUGCUUUAUACUUUUAAUUCUGUCAAAGGAGAUUUGUUCUUUUUCAACAAUACCAAUGCCGGUAACUGGCUGCAGAAAUUUGACUAUGGCUUCCCCUUCCAAGAACUCUUUUCUAAGAUGAGGUCAGAUUAGUUAAACCUGUAAACUAGCCCGUGGCAAGGACUUAGGCAAAGUGGUCCCCGCAGAUUGGGUUCACCAGACAUGUUAUGUAUGACCUAAUGGAUUGUUACCUUGUAAUCACUGCAGCAGCAUCAGCUAACGAAAGGCCCUGUUGAAUUAUGCCUAUAAAAUUGUUGCCACUGUGUGCACACAGAAUAUGUAGUCUUCUCAAAACUGGUAGGAGUGGUGUGGCAAAAACGCAUGCGCAUAUACGACCUCUGUAGAACAACUGAAUCGAGAUAUCUGCAACGAUGGCUAUGUAAUAGGAAAUUUAAAAGCUGUUCAUUGCUUGUACCAUUUCAUGCUUACAAAAAGCAGAAAACCCAAGGGUAAAUGAAACUACAAAAUAUUUUAUUGGUUUAUGGCUUACUAUGAAAUGAUUACUAUUCAUAGCCUACAGUCUUUUCCAGAGAAAAAAAAAAGAUUAUAUAUAUAUAAACAUAUAUAUAGUUCUUUCCAGCAAACCAGGAUGUUUCCAGCAUUGUCUUUUUUUACCUCUUUUGAAGCAAGUGCUACUAUUAUUCACCAGCUGUUAACCUGGAAUGAUAUGAUUUAUUGUACUGUUGGUGUCUGCAAUUCAAUUAAAAAUUGGGGUUUCCUAAACAAAUCUAUCAGAUUUUUAAUGUUGAACUUUUACUGUUCCUUUUGCCAGUUUGGUACCACAUUUGACCAUAGGACUGAAGAUAUCUGUAUCCUUUUCUUAGAAUCACAAUUCUAUAUAGAACUGUAAAUGUGAAAUUGCUCUAAUCUCUGGAUUCACUUAAACCUGAUAACAUGAAAAGUCAUAAUAGUCUUUUUGGAAAUUCUACUUUCAGUUAAUUUAUGUAGAAACCAAUCAGAAAUAAUUCAAACCUAUUUAUAUAACACCCAAUAGUUUGCUUGCAUCUCGGUAAAUAAUUAGACAUCAGAUGUCAUCUUUUUACAUGUGCUUGAAC